UCCAGACUCCUACGGGAGGCAGCAGUGAGGAAUAUUGGCCAAUGGGCUUACGCCUGAACCAGCCAAGUCGCGUGAGGGAAGACUGCCCUAUGGGUUGUAAACCUCUUUUGUCAGGGAGCAAUUGGCGCUACGUGUAGCGUUAUCGAGAGUACCUGAAGAAAAAGCAUCGGCUAACUCCGUGCCAGCAGCCGCGGUAAUACGGAGGAUGCGAGCGUUAUCCGGAUUUAUUGGGUUUAAAGGGUGCGUAGGCGGCAUUAUAAGUUAGUGGUAAAAUAUUGGGGCUUCACCUCACUACGCCAUUAAUACUGUAGAGCUAGAGAACAGACGAGGUAGGCGGAAUAAGUUAAGUAGCGGUGAAAUGCAUAGAUAUAACUUAGAACACCGAUAGCGAAGGCAGCUUACCAGACUGAGUCUGACGCUGAUGCACGAGAGCAUGGGUAGCGAACAGGAUUAGAUACCUGUAAA
rnacentral:rRNA from 1 species